rnacentral:tRNA from 1 species
UAUUAGAAAGUUAAUAUAACUUUAAGUUGCAAACUUAACAAAGCGCAAGCUCUAAUUA